rnacentral:rRNA from 1 species
UUAAGCAUAUCAAUAAGCGGAGGAAAAGAAACUAACAAGGAUUCCCCUAGUAACGGCGAGUGAAGCGGGAAGAGCUCAAAUUUGUAAUCUGGCACCUUCGGUGUCCGAGUUGUAAUCUCGAGAAGUGUUUUCCGCGCCAGACCGCAUAUAAGUCUGUUGGAAUACAGCGUCAUAGUGGUGAGAACCCCGUAACUGAUGCGGAUGCCUGGUGCUCUGUGAUACACUUUCGAAGAGUCGAGUUGUUUGGGAAUGCAGCUCAAAUUGGGUGGUAAAUUCCAUCUAAAGCUAAAUAUUGGCGAGAGACCGAUAGCGAACAAGUACCGUGAGGGAAAGAUGAAAAGCACUUUGGAAAGAGAGUUAACAGUACGUGAAAUUGUUGGAAGGGAAACGCUUGAAGUCAGACUUGCUAUUUGGAGUUCAGCCGCAAGGUGUAUUCUUCAAUUUGCAGGCCAGCAUCAGUUUUUAGGGGUGGAAAAGGGUAUUGAGAAGGUAGCAGUUUCGGCUGUGUUAUAGCUCUUUACUGGAUUCAUCCUUGGGGACUGAGGAACGCAGUACGCUUUUUGCAAGGCUUUCGGGCUUUUCGUACUUAGGAUGCUGGUGGAAUGGCUUUAAACGACCCGUUG